UCGAGGAUCUUCGGCAAUGGGCGAAAGCCUGACCGAGCGACGCCGCGUGUGCGAUGAAGGCCUUCGGGUUGUAAAGCACUGUCGUGGAGGAGAAAGACCGCAAGGUUUGAUCGACUCCAGGAGGAAGCUCGGGCUAAGUUCGUGCCAGCAGCCGCGGUAAGACGAACCGAGCGAACGUUAUUCGGAAUCACUGGGCUUAAAGGGCGCGUAGGCGGACUGCCAAGUCAGGGGUGAAAGCCCGCGGCUCAACCGCGGAAGUGCCUUUGAUACUGGCGGUCUCGAGGGAGGUAGGGGCGUGCGGAACUUCCGGUGGAGCGGUGAAAUGCGUAGAUAUCGGAAGGAACACCGGUGGCGAAAGCGGCGCGCUGGACCUCUUCUGACGCUGAGGCGCGAAAGCCAGGGGAGCGAACGGGAUUAGAUACCCGUGUAGUCC
rnacentral:rRNA from 1 species